ACCACCACCAAUAGUUAUUUUUGCUUACAUUUACUCCUUGCAAAUCCAAAAAUAAGAAAAUCUAUCAAUCAAACACAUCCAGAAAGUACUAAAGCUAUCACAAAAGUCUUGUGACAUACACAAUAUCGAUAAAUAACAGAAAAACACAUCCAGAAAGUAUUAAAGCUAUCACAAAAAUCUUGUGACAUACACAGUAUCGAUAAAUAAUAGAAAAAUACAUCCAG
rnacentral:lncRNA from 1 species